rnacentral:rRNA from 1 species
CAAGUCGAACGCGUCUCCGUUAAUGAUUUUAGGUGCUUGCACUUGAGAGAUUUAACAUUGAGACGAGUGGCGAACUGGUGAGUAACACGUGGGUAACCUGCCCUUGAAGUAGGGGAUAACACUUGGAAACAGGUGCUAAUACCGUAUAACAACCAAAACCACCUGGUUUUGGUUUAAAAGACGGCUUCGGCUGUCACUUUAGGAUGGACCCGCGGCGUAUUAGCUUGUUGGUAAGGUAACGGCCUACCAAGGCGAUGAUACGUAGCCGACCUGAGAGGGUAAUCGGCCACAUUGGGACUGAGACACUGCCCAAACUCCUACGGGAGGCAGCAGUAGGGAAUCUUCCACAAUGGACGAAAGUCUGAUGGAGCAACGCCGCGUGAGUGAUGAAGGGUUUCGGCUCGUAAAACUCUGUUGUUGGAGAAGAACAGGUGUCAGAGUAACUGUUGACAUCUUGACGGUAUCCAACCAGAAAGCCACGGCUAACUACGUGCCAGCAGCCGCGGUAAUACGUAGGUGGCAAGCGUUGUCCGGAUUUAUUGGGCGUAAAGCGAGCGCAGGCGGUUUUUUAGGUCUGAUGUGAAAGCCUUCGGCUUAACCGGAGAAGUGCAUCGGAAACCGGGAGACUUGAGUGCAGAAGAGGACAGUGGAACUCCAUGUGUAGCGGUGAAAUGCGUAGAUAUAUGGAAGAACACCAGUGGCGAAGGCGGCUGUCUGGUCUGUAACUGACGCUGAGGCUCGAAAGCAUGGGUAGCGAACAGGAUUAGAUACCCUGGUAGUCCAUGCCGUAAACGAUGAGUGCUAAGUGUUGGAGGGUUUCCGCCCUUCAGUGCUGCAGCUAAC